rnacentral:lncRNA from 1 species
AGAAUGUAAUCACCUUGGCAAACAUGGAGAGGACCCAUUGAAGCACUGUCUGUGGGGAAGGAAGUUCUACCCAGCAGGCUUUGAGUAUGCCCAACCCCAAGGGCAAAGCUAACCCCGGAGGACACAGAGAGGUUUAGGCCAAGACCUGUGAGUUCUCUGGUAUUUUGGGUAAGCUCAUUCCUGAGAUGAGAUGGGCACCUCAGGAAGCCUUAACCUGAUCCAGGAAUACUGCCUUGAGUCACAGCCCCAUUCUGAUUCUAUGGUCACCAGGCAACCUUCUCAUUGUGAGUCUGCCUCCCUCCCAGGUGGCUCUGCCAACCAAGGAGAAAACAUUGUUGCUAUAAAGUUUGACCAUUUGAUAACUUCUGGUGAAUUAAUUGUCCCUGAUCAAGACAAAUCUAUUUUAGAUUACUAAAAACUAACAAAGGAUUUUGGCUACUCCUGGACAGUGGCUGAAAUGGUCUUCAAAAUAUGAGCCUUCAACUGUACCCUAGACCUAAGACCCAGGAGCCUGCCUCACUUCAAGAAGUUUCUCCCCCCCCCCCCAAAAAAAUCAUUUCCCAAUUACCUUCUUUUGGUGUUUAGGAAGCUACCGGGAGACUACCUGAAUAAGAUCUCCUGUCUACCUUCUCUGUCUGAGGAGCUCUGGGCCCUGUAAGCAAUUUCUUAAGGAAUUUACUAACCAACCUCAGGACUGAAAUUAGAUUCUACCAAGGAGAAGAAGGAUAUCAGAGAAGAUUGGAAGAUGAAAUGGAGGCCUUUAUUUCCAUAAUCCUGCAGGGCAGAAAUGGUUUCUACCACCUAAGUGUUUAUGCUUCUAUGGGGAAGUCCUUACCUGCUAUGGGACCUACCUACUUCUUCUAGAACUCAAUCCUUCCCAUCCAGACUCCUCUUCAACCUAGGGACUGUGACUUUCCAUUGUGCUGACCGACCCCAGCAGGCUUACCAUCCCUAGUUGGCUUUUCUUCACCCUGCUGUAUCUUCCUAAAUAGUUUCUUUAUUAAACAACUUUGUAAUU